CAGGUCCAACGAUCUCGCUUCCAACGCAUCCAUCCUGGGCCUACAAACCUUCAGAUCCUUCCCAACCUCCGGCACCGCCGCCGCCACCACUGCGCACGGUCCGCCGCUGGCCGCCGACAUGAGGCGCGUCCUGAUGAAGGGCCACGAACGCCGGCUAGCGUUCCUACGCAACAACCCGGGACAGCGACCUGCUCUUCUCCUGCGCGAAGGAGCACGCCCCCACCUUCUCCGUCUGGUACGCCGAGGACCCUGACAAUGCGACUACCGUGAGUCAUGCGUUCUCCCUCUCGAUUGCUUAUGCAAUUUUUCCUAGAUGCAUGAUGGAUUUUGUGGCAUGUGUGAUUUACUGGUGUCUGCCGAGAUAGGGGAGUUCGCGCUGGUAAGUGUGGGGGCUGCUGGACAGGAUAGUCAUCACCGCCGGCGAGGACGCCACCAUUGGCAUCUGACACUCGGAGGCACGGUCGCUAAAAAAAACAACUUAUUUGGAUGACACCUUGGCAAAGUUGGCUGAGCCAGGCAGCUCAUCCAGGCCAUCGAUUUCGUGCACCUGGGGCCACGAUGGCUGCCUGGCAGCAGCUGCCUGGGUGAGGCCUUCAUCCAAACAAGCCUGAUAUUCAAUGUCACAUGCCUAGCUACGGCAUACAAAGAAGCUAACACUAAUCAAGACUAUGUUACAGAGUGACAAGUUAAUGCCAUUGACAUCUCUCCUGCUCAUGGCACCGUUGUCGUAGGAGGUGGUCAGGAUGAAAUGAGUGUGACUAUGAAGACCACCAUGCUGGCCAAUUUGAGGCUAAAUUCUACCACUAGGCAUUUUACACCAAUAAUGUGUUGUCAUUUAAUCUAUGGAGGUAAUAUUUUUGAUCCAACAGUGUCUGUCACUAUAGUUGUUUUUUUAUGUAUACAUUUGGCUGCUGUCCAUUUGAAAUAUAAAAAUUUUAUGCUCAUGUUUCAUGUUUCUUUGUGAUUGUAUCCCCACAUGCUCAAUUAUUAAGCCCAGGGUUGGAGCCAGAGAAUGUCUAGGACCUGGGCUGACCAAGUUACGACAGUCCUAAUCAUUUAAUAAUAUCAUUUUCUUCUACAUUUCUAGUAGCUGGGCACUGAGAUUUGGGCCUAGGAAACCCCUGAGACCUGGCUCUGGCACUGAUUAAACCUUGUUAAUACAAUACGGUUAAUCACAAUUCGGAUUCCAUGAGCUUUACGUGAGCAGAUUUUAUGUCAAUUUGUAUACUUUUCAUUAGCUUUUUGUAUUGAUUUAUAUAUUUCCAGCAUUAUUUUUUUUUGAUUGUAGAAUAAUAGGAUUGGUGUAAUUGAUGGAUGUAUUGCAUUGAGGACUCGGCCGGUAUAUAUGAGAGUACAUGACUUGGGGGGUAAGACAUCCCCCGGGAUACAUAUGGCAGUCUACGAUACGUCGAUACGUAUAUCUACAACUAUCAAAUAUACUCUAAUACUCCCCCGCAGUCACAGCGGGAGCACCGCAGACGGUGAGACUGAAGAAGAAGCCGAAAGCAGGAGCCAACAGACUAACAUCCCCCCGCAGUCAUAAUGUCGGUGUGGUGCGGAUGUUGCGACUGGAGAGAAACCAGCGAGUAACUCAUGCGGAUGGUAGCCCUUUGUGCCGAUGUCGAGGUAGCCGAGCUGGAGGGCGAGGAGCCAUGGUCGAAGAUGCCGUGCAUAGGAUAGCCGUGGUCGAAGUAGAGCUGUCGAGGUUGCCGAAGGCGAGGUAGCCACACAUGAAGCCGCGGGCGCACGAGGAGGCGCCGUGGUGGUGGCGUAAUGGAGAAGAUGCCGGAGACGAAGAUGGUGACGCGUCGAGGCAGUUGUAGAGGGAGCGAUGCCAAAGUCGAUGCAGUCAGGCCAUCGGGCGACACAUGUCCGAGUUUGCCAGGCUCGGGAACGCAUCGGGGACGAUGGGAACGCAUCGGGGACGAUGGGCACGCACCGGUGUUGCCAAUACCGGACGUGCAAGGGAGGAAGCACAACCAGAUGCCGUCGCCGGGGGGCCAGUAGAGAAGGCCUCCAUAGCGGUCGCAGGCGGAGAAGAAGGCGAGGUAGAAGAUGCCAACGCCUGCUGUUGCUGGAGUAGACGAAGUAGUCAGGGACGAGAUGGCGACGCUGUCGACGUGGUUGUGCUAGUAGAAGCGAGGAGGGGAACCCAGAUUUUCCAGCACAAGGCCGAAUGAUCCAGAUGAUGCGGCAGCGGCGCUCGAAAGAGGCGGCAAAGAAAUCGUACAGCUUGACGAAGACCAUGCGCGGGGCGCGCAGCGACGAGUCGACGAUGAGGUCGGGGACGGGGUCGGCGGCGGUGAGGAAGCAACGACAGAGAAGACCGCGGGGUGACGCCACUGCUGCCCGAUGAGGCGACGCAGCGACAGCCUCCGUGCUCGGUGAAGGGCGCGCUCGACGAGGACGGACGUCACGGGAGCCGGUGGAUCACGCAUGUCGGUUGAUCAGGCCGAGUAUUCGCGAGGCGAGAAGAUGAUGGGCAAAGCUGGCGGAGGCGUCCCGAUCGGUGGAGGCGACGACGAGCCAGCGAAGGACAACGCGAGGACAAAACGGCGAGGUGGGCGUCCCCUAGGUCACCGUCCAUGUUUCCAUGCCGCACAGUCAUGGUCGAGGAAGAAGCCGGUGAAGUCGACGCCGACGUCGAAGUAGAGGCGCGAGGUCGACUGGCGGUGGGCGACUCAAUCUCGAUCAGUGAUCGAGUAAAAAAUCAGAGAAACUAACCAAAAAUAAACCAGCAACUACUUCUUGUGUAGAACCUCCGGGUGCGCUGAGUACUUCACCCAUCUUUCUCUCCCCUCGGCACAUCACGCCAGCAGAAGCAGAGACGCCUGUGCGUGGGAGAAAGAUAUCAGAGGGGCGAUAGAAGUCGACGCCAACGGAGGGGCCCCACUAGGGAGGAGUUGGCCUGCUGGCGGUGGAUCCCCGCGAGGGAGGAGCCGCGCGGAGGGGGGUCGGAGCAGCCAGCCGCGGAUGCAGCUCGGCGCUGCGUUGUGGUAGAAGUCCGGCGCGGCCAGCGACGCCACGACCACCGGUAGGUGAAGGCCUAGCGAGGCGGAGCGAUGGCAGCCCGGCGCACGGCGAGGAGUGACGGGAUAGGAGACCGGGGUGGAGUGGAUCCGCCAGCGUUGGAAGGAACCGGCGCGGAUCCACCGGAGGAGGCGAAAGCGACGGAGCCGGCCCGUGGCUGAUGGAUUCUGCUAGGAAAGAAGCAGAGGAGGGAGGCCAAGGCCAGCCCACAGACGAUGGCGCCCGGGUGAGUCCUUCACAAUCUGUUGUUGCUGGAUGACAUGCUACAACGGCGGAUCAAAUUGAUCUGCCGUCGGACUUCGGAGGACGCAGCCCCCGGCGGAGAUCAUGGGCGACCUCCCCGGGGGCGCGCUAGGAGGCCGUCGCGGGGGUGCGCUGGCGGCGCACCGUGGGGGGACGACCGGCGGCGUGUGAAGAACAGAGGCGAUGGUGGCGGCAGCGGAAGGUUUAGCCUAGGAUCCCAAACCCUAAUCUCAGUGAUACUAUGUAGAAUAAUAUGAUUGGUGUAAUUGAUGGAUGUAUUGCAUUGAGGACUCGGCCGGUAUAUAUGAGAGUACAUGACUUGGGGGGUAAGACAUCCCCCGGGAUACAUAUGGCAGUCUACGAUACGUAUAUCUACAACUACCAAAUAUACUCUAAUACUGAUAUUUGAAUAGUUGUUUGUUGGAAUUCAGUAAUUACUUGCAGGUUACUUGUCAGGCAAUGUAAGCAUUUGCAAUCUUGACCUUAGUGCUGAAGCUUAUCUCUGCAUUUUAUAAUGUUGAAGAUUUUCUUUUUGGUGAACUUACAAUUAUAUGCGGGCUUUUUUUUUUUUUUGAGAAACAGGAUUUCCAUCUUGUACUUCUAUUCUCACUUUUGCCGGUCAUUCCUGAAAGCUAAAUCUUUUACUGAUGUUCUUUAUUUUUAGCAGCUUUUUGGGUGGUGGUGAAGAUGGAUGUGUAAUGUUGCACCAUUUAGAUUUGGACUACUUCAAUAGGGCUCUACCUCACAUCGAUCACACACACACACACACCCCUUUGUGGCUGCAGGUUGAAGAUGAAGGAGAGGAAGAGAAGCAGGAAGAACACACGAGGAGUGGUGCUGCUUAAACACUGAGCUGCAGCUGCUCUCCCUUAUAUUCACAAUUCAGUCAAGGAUGAGCAUUUACAAGGCAGUGUAUGAGGAAACCAAUAGACACAAGAGGUGCUGGUUAGUCUUGAUGCUUGAUUGCUUGGAGAGUUUGAUCACAAAUUUAUGUAUUGGUAAUGUAUUUACUGUUAGAUAUUUCAGUUGUGCUUAAGAACUUUGUACCCAUGGCAAUGGAAAUAUCCUUAGAUUGCAAUCAUAAAUUCAUUUUGUUAUA